rnacentral:rRNA from 1 species
UACAGAGGGUGCGAGCGUUAAUCGGAGUUACUGGGCGUAAAGGGCGCGUAGGCGGUUUAAUAAGAUUGAUGUGAAAUCCCUGGGCUUAACCUAGGAACUGCAUCGAUGACUGUUAAGCUGGAGUACUGUAGAGGGUAGUAGAAUUUCCGGUGUAGCGGUGAAAUGCGUAGAGAUCGGAAGGAAUACCAGUGGCGAAGGCGGCUACCUGGACAGAUACUGACGCUGAGGCGCGAGAGCGUGGGGAGCAAACAGG